rnacentral:tRNA from 1 species
GUGGUGGCUCAGUGGCAGCGCACUCGCCUGGCAUGUGUGAGGCACUGGGUUCGAUCCUCAGCACCACA